GUGCUCACUUUGGCAGCACAUAUACUAAAAUUGGAAUGAUACAGAAAAGAUUAGCAUGGCCCCUGCACGAGGAGGACAUGCAAAUUCAUGAAGCAUUUCACAUUUUU
rnacentral:snRNA from 1 species